rnacentral:rRNA from 1 species
UACGGAGGGUGCAAGCGUUAAUCGGAAUUACUGGGCGUAAAGCGCACGCAGGUGGCUGAGUCAGUCGAUUGUGAAAGCCCUGGGCUUAACCUGGGAAUUGCAGUCGAUACUACUCAGCUAGAGUAUGGGAGAGGGUAGUGGAAUUCCCGGUGUAGCGGUGAAAUGCGUAGAUAUCGGGAGGAACAUCAGUGGCGAAGGCGGCCUUCUGGACGGUGACUGACGCUGAGACGCGAAAGCGUGGGUAGCAAACAGG